UUAAAGGGCCCGGCUUAGUUAGAUAACACAUUCCUUAAUUCCUUUAGGGCAGCUGCCCUUCCCAUAUAGAUAAAACCAAGAAAGCUAACUUGAAAUUCAAUAUGCGACGAGCAAAGAGGAAGCGAGGAGCUUCGCCUUCAGAUUCCAAGGAAUUAGCCGGCGGUUUGCGAGAGGAGAAAACAGUAAAGAAGAACC